AUUUUCGUGGCGCUUUCAAAUCCAGAACAAUCGCUGCCCCCUCUACUAACUCUACUGACAGACUAUGGUAGAAUAUCAUACUACCGUCUGAAUAAGGAGAAAACACAAGCCCUACCGAUAAACCUACCAGGGCCAAAUGUAACUACCCUUAAGAACUCCUUUGAACUCGACUGGCGAACAACAUCUAUAACGUACUUAGGGGUUAAAAUCGCCGCUCCUAUUAGCAACAUAGUAAAGCUUCAUUAUAAGCCCCUCAUACAUCUAUGCACCACGGAAAUACA